rnacentral:misc_RNA from 1 species
GAUGAAGAACGCAGCGAAAUGCGAUAAGUAAUGUGAAUUGCAGAAUUCCGUGAAUCAUCGAAUCUUUGAACGCACAUUGCGCCCUCUGGUAUUCCGGGGGGCAUGCCUGUCCGAGCGUCAUUGCAACCCUCAAGCGCGGCUUGUGUGUUGGGUCUUCGUCCCCCGUGGACGUGCCCGAAAUGCAGUGGCGGCGUCGUGUUCCGGUGCCCGAGCGUAUGGGGCUUUGUCACCCGCUCUUGGAGGCCCGGCCGGCGCUUGCCCAUCACCCAUCGAGGACUCGUUCCUCAACCAGGUUGACCUCGGAACAGGUAGGGAUACCCGCUGAACUUAAGCAUAUCAAUAAGCGGAGGA